ensembl:lncRNA
GAAGGAAAAUAGGUAGAGACAGUGAAAAAGGUAGAACGAUUGAUGUGAGAGAGAGAGAGGGGGAGGGAGAGGCAGACCGACAUAGAAAGGGAAAGAUAGAGAGAAUGAGAGAGAGAUAGAGAGAGGGAGGAGAGAAACAGACAGACAGACAGACAGAGAGAAAAAGAGAAAUAAGAAACAAAGAAAAGGGUGACACAGAGCCAAAGGAAAGACAGAUGGCAAUACUAGACCACUUCCUGUUCCAUUUGCUAAAGUUCAGGCUGGUGACUCUUGACCUUCAUUAGCAAGGACAAAACCUGGCACUUGCAUUCUUUCAUCCACGCACACAAAAGAAAAAUCUUCAAAACUGGAAAGAAAGAAAGAUAGAAAAAAUUCAAAAAAAUAACAUCCAAGGUUUUUUUUCCCAACCUGCCCGAGGGCUUGUAACUUCUAUCCCACAAUGCACUGCAGUGCAUUCUCCCAUCAGUGGCAUGAGCAGAGAGAGGAAGAGGAAGAGGAAGAGAAAGAGAGGUGAGGUGAGGAGAAGCCUAGUCAAAAAUGGAUGCUGGGAGGAUAAAGAUGAAAAGGCAGAAAGAGAAAAAGAAGAAGAAGAAGAAGAAGAGCAAGGAGGAGGAGAGAAAGCAGUGAUGCGAUGGAGAAGGAGAAGGAGAAGGAGGAGGAAGAGAAUGUUCAUCAUAUUUCAAACUUAAUUUGCAAUUCCUAUAAAUGUGCCCUCAUUCUCACAGGGCUCUGAACUCAUACCCCUCAGACCUCUCCAACAUUCAAAGAGUCCGUUUGGAGAAUAAAGCAGGCUUUGGCUGUUUAAUACAGGGUCAUAGCCGCUCUCACGGCGUGGGAGGGAGAGCGAAAGAAGAUUAAAAAGAAAUGGGACCACAGAGAAAGAGAAAGGGAAAGAGAGUGAGAGAUAGAGAGAAACAGUGAUAAAGGGAGAGAAAGAGAAAUACAGCGACAGAGAGAAGAAGAGAUAGACAGGAAGGGAAGAUAGAGGAAGCGAGGGAGAGAAAAAGAGAGACCGACAACAACAGUGCCACAGGUUGCUCUCUAUUGAGGUGCAAUAAGGAGACUCUAUUGUGUAGUAUGUGUGUUUUCUUUUUUCUGUGCUUUUUAAGAAUGGACUCUGAAUUGAAAUUGGAACAAACUAUCAUAUCUCGUUUUUGAGAGCCUUGGUGGAAGAUUCAGUACAUCUGCCAAAAGGCCAGGGAAAUAACAGGUGAGAGGCAAUCCUUGGAGAUAAUUGCUUCAAGCUCAACAGAUUGACUACGAGGCCAAGUGUACACGUACACACACACACACACACACACACACACACACACACAC